rnacentral:rRNA from 1 species
AGCGGCGAACGGGUGAGUAACGCGUGGAUUAUCUGCCCUGAGGUGGGGGAUAACCCGGGGAAACUCGGGCUAAUACCGCAAUGACCGUGAGGUCAAAGGGGGGUCGCAAGAUCUCUCGCCAUAGGAGGAGUCCGCGUACGAUUAGCUAGUUGGUAGGGUAAUGGCCUACCAAGGCGACGAUCGUUAGCCGGCCUGAGAGGGUGAUCGGCCACACUGGAACUGAGACACGGUCCAGACUCCUACGGGAGGCAGCAGUGGGGAAUUUUGCGCAAUGGGCGAAAGCCUGACGCAGCAACGCCGCGUGGAGGAUGAAGGUCCUUGGAUUGUAAACUCCUGUCAGCAGGGAAAAAGCAAUUUAGCCUCAUACGCUAGAAAGUUGAUUGUACCUGCAGAGGAAGCCCCGGCUAACUCUGUGCCAGCAGCCGCGGUAAUACAGAGGGGGCAAGCGUUAUUCGGAAUUAUUGGGCGUAAAGGGCGCGUAGGCGGCUUGGCAAGUGGAUGGUGAAAUCCCUCGGCUUA